AGGAUAGAGUGUUUAGAUGAUUGUUAUCGAUAUUUGCACAUUGGGGAUGAUGCACCAAAUGAGAUGGUGUAGUAGUAUGUCGGGGGUCAGGUGCUGUGGUUGUUAGGUGGUGUUCUAUUACCUGAUACUUCAUCAAACAAAAUGAAGUUGAUUUUUUACCAUUAUUGAAGAAUUUAGAGUUCGCUCGUAGACUCAGUUGGGAUAAUGCAGUACUAGCUUGCUUGUACAGGGCUAUGUGCUGGGAUUUUUAUGCUGACCAGAGUGAGAUUGAUGGUUAUUUUAUAUUAUUACAGAUAUGUGAAUUAAAAAUUUAUAUUUUUAAUAUUCUAUUAUAGCUCUGAUUGGGUAUAUCAUGUAUGAUUUUUUUUGAAAUUUACAG
rnacentral:lncRNA from 1 species